UCGGGGAACGUAACACCUGGAAACAGAUGCUAAUACCGGAUAACAACAGAUGAUGCCUAUCAACUGUUUAAAAGAUGGUUCUGCUAUCACUAUUGGAUGGACCUGCGGUGCAUUAGCUAGUUGGUAGGGUAACGGCCUACCAAGGCGAUGAUGCAUAGCCGAGUUGAGAGACUGAUCGGCCACAUUGGGACUGAGACACGGCCCAAACUCCUACGGGAGGCAGCAGCC
rnacentral:rRNA from 1 species